UUUUUAUGUAUGAUCUAUUAUAUAGGUUAAAGGGACAAAUAUGAUAUAUAAAUUUAAUUGAGGAAUUUUUUGCAACAUAAUAAUUGUUAAAAACUAUUUACUUGAUGUAAACAUUGGACAAGCUUUUUUACUAUAUAACGGGAUCAAACAAUUCAACGUUUGUUAUAUACAAAGUUAAAAAAGAAUGGCUGAAAUUCUCAAGUUUGUUUAUAAUGCUAUCCUUUUUGUUUCUUUGUAUCUUCUUGUAAUUUAUGGUGACAGAGAGUGUGAUACUGACACCGAAUGCCAGAAAAAAUUUCCUGGCGUUAAUGCACAUCAUUUGUGGUGCGAUAAUGGAAAUUGUGUGAGCUAUCCCAAGUAAGGUUAUCCUCAUGACAAGACUGAGGAGUAGUAUCAAGGUGUUUGUGUCCGAGAAUAAAGUUGAUAUUUAUUAUUUUACCUAUAUAUGUUUUUCUUUAAAAUUUGUUGGAUUAUUGUUUAUGUUUAAAUUGGGUUCUAGGCACUCAUAUUAUUAUGACAUUAGUGCCAAGUUUAAUAAUUUGGUCUACACUUAUAUUAUCUUUGAUCUUGAGAAAAAAUUACAUAUUUUAUUUUAUUUUGAGGAUAAUUGUAAGGCUCUAAGAAGGAAAUGAAGAGUCUCAACCAAUUAUGGGUACUCAAGGCUUCGAGUCUCAACCAUGACACCCUAAACCCCAAAUAACAUAUUUAAAGUUAUACAUAAUUGAGAUAGCAUAAUGAGGAUAAAAAUAGGAGUUUAAAAAUUCUUUUCAACAGGUUAAGGAUAUCACGAAUCAUUUACAUAAUCCUCAAUUUAAUAUUUCAAACUUCAUUAUAAUAAAUUUUGGCUUAACGCCGAACAUUGG
rnacentral:lncRNA from 1 species